AUUGAACGCUGGCGGCAGGCCUAACACAUGCCAGUCGAACGGUAACAGGAAACGACUUGCCGUUUCGCGGUGGCGUGGCGGGGGUGGGUGUGAUGUCUGUGAGACUGCCUGAUGGCGGGGGAGAACUAGUGGAGACGGUAGCGAUAACCGCAUAUCGUCGCAACAGCAAAGAGCAGGAGACCCGGGCCCCUUGCCAGCGGGUAUGACCAGAUGGCAUUAGCUAGUUGGUGGGGUAAAGGCCCACCAAGGCGACGAUCCGUAGCUGGUCUGAGAGGAUGAUCAGCCACACUGGAACUGAGACACGGUCCAGACUCCUACGGGAGGCAGCAGUGGGGAAUAUUGCACAAUGGGCGCAAGCCUGAUCCAGCCAUGCCGCGUGGGUGAAGAAGGCCUUCGGGUUGUAAAGCCCUUUUAUUGGGGAAGAAAAGCAGCAGGUUAAUACCCCGCUGUACUGACGGUACCCAAAGAAUAAGCACCGGCUAACUUCGUG
rnacentral:rRNA from 1 species